AUGUAUUUGGAUCCAGAUGUUUCGGCCUCAUUUGCUGGAGUGGAUGCAGCAUUAGUCUGUCAAGUUCCCUGCUGUUUGCCAUUAUUUAGUAUUGUUAGAGUCUGUAAGCUUGCACUCUCAUUGGGAGAGUUGAGGAAAGGCUUUAAAUUGGAAAAGAUACCACCAAGCUGUGGCCCUUGUCCAGAAUUCCUCAGAUUAAAAACAACAAAACAGGGACUUCCUGGUGGUCCAGAGGUUAAGAAUCUGCCUUGCAGGGACAGGAAGGAGGGAAGGAGAGAAAGAGACAGGGCCAUAUUGAGAGACAGAGAAAGAAAAGGAGAGGGAGACAAGGCAAGAGAGAGGGGGGGAGGGAGGAAAGGAGAGAGAGAGGGAGGGAGAGAGGGAGGGAGGGAAGGACAGGGCGAGAGAGAGAGAAAGAGAGAGAGAGAAGGGAAGAAAGAGGCAGAAAGGAAGGACCAGAGAGAGAGAGAAGGGAAGAGGGUUCGGGGCUGGCUCCGAAGGCCCUCUAGUCAGGCAAGCAGGGCCAGGGGCGGCAGUGGGGUUAGCCCUGAUCCACAGGGGCCCACUGCUGCCCCAUGGAGUCUACAGAGUUCACCCUGUGCUGAUUCUCACUGAAUAAGACUGGGGUCC
rnacentral:lncRNA from 1 species